UUUUCACUCCCAGGACCCUGCAAAGCACACAAGACACCAUAAUAUACAAAACCAAAAUGACACAAAACAACUCAAAUUAUUAUACAAACUAUACAUAGAAACAGAUGUAAUUUUGCAUUACAUUAACCGGUAGUAGUAGCUCUAAUGAUUGGGAAGCAAAUCGUUACGGUGUUGUGAAGGUUAAAACUAAAACUGCAAGUACUUCAGAACAACAAAGCACCAAAACAGUUGAACUUGCAGAAAUAAGAAAAGAGGAAGACCAAAGAAAAUUAAAACGAAUCCAACUGAUGUUUCCCUUCAAAUUUCUUAAUCAAGAGAAUUAGUUUUAAAUGACAAAGAAGAAACAAAAGAAGUCGCAGAAAACGCUCUGAAACGGAAAAGAGGAAGACCAAAG